rnacentral:misc_RNA from 1 species
GUUCCACCAGGGAUACCCCACCAUGUUGCUGGACAUAGUCCCCAAUGCGGUCAGCCACCUCAGGUGCAAGGCCCUUCUCUCCCACCAUCUCAUUCUUCACCUCUUCCCAGGACACCUUGUCCAGCUUGUCUACUGAGGAGCAGAUGGUACGGAACUUGCUGUCAGAAACACCACAGAUAGCAAACAUCCCAUCUAGAAUGCGUCGA